rnacentral:rRNA from 1 species
UACGUAGGGUGCAAGCGUUAAUCGGAAUUACUGGGCGUAAAGCGUGCGCAGGCGGUUUGUAAGUCUGUCGUGAAAUCCCCGGGCUCAACCUGGGAAUUGCGAUGGAGACUGCAAGGCUAGAAUCUGGCAGAGGGGGUAGAAUUCCACGUGUGAGCAGUGAAAUGCGUAGAUAUGCGGAGGAACACCGAUGGCGAAGGCAAUCCCUGGACCUGUACUGACGCUCAUGCACGAAAGCCGUGGGGAGCAAACAGG